rnacentral:rRNA from 1 species
GGUUAAGCGACUAAGCGUACACGGUGGAUGCCCUGGCAGUCAGAGGCGAUGAAGGACGUGCUAAUCUGCGAUAAGCGUCGGUAAGGUGAUAUGAACCGUUAUAACCGGCGAUUUCCGAAUGGGGAAACCCAGUGUGAUUCGUCACACUAUCAUUAACUGAAUCCAUAGGUUAAUGAGGCGAACCGGGGGAACUGAAACAUCUAAGUACCCCGAGGAAAAGAAAUCAACCGAGAUUCCCCCAGUAGCGGCGAGCGAACGGGGAGCAGCCCAGAGCCUGAAUCAGUGUGUGUGUUAGUGGAAGCGUCUGGAAAGGCGCGCGAUACAGGGUGACAGCCCCGUACACAAAAAUGCACAUGCUGUGAGCUCGAUGAGUAGGGCGGGACACGUGGUAUCCUGUCUGAAUAUGGGGGGACCAUCCUCCAAGGCUAAAUACUCCUGACUGACCGAUAGUGAACCAGUACCGUGAGGGAAAGGCGAAAAGAACCCCGGCGAGGGGAGUGAAAAAGAACCUGAAACCGUGUACGUACAAGCAGUGGGAGCACGCUUAGGCGUGUGACUGCGUACCUUUUGUAUAAUGGGUCAGCGACUUAUAUUCUGUAGCAAGGUUAACCGAAUAGGGGAGCCGAAGGGAAACCGAGUCUUAACUGGGCGUUAAGUUGCAGGGUAUAGACCCGAAACCCGGUGAUCUAGCCAUGGGCAGGUUGAAGGUUGGGUAACACUAACUGGAGGACCGAACCGACUAAUGUUGAAAAAUUAGCGGAUGACUUGUGGCUGGGGGUGAAAGGCCAAUCAAACCGGGAGAUAGCUGGUUCUCCCCGAAAGCUAUUUAGGUAGCGCCUCGUGAAUUCAUCUCCGGGGGUAGAGCACUGUUUCGGCAAGGGGGUCAUCCCGACUUACCAACCCGAUGCAAACUGCGAAUACCGGAGAAUGUUAUCACGGGAGACACACGGCGGGUGCUAACGUCCGUCGUGAAGAGGGAAACAACCCAGACCGCCAGCUAAGGUCCCAAAGUCAUGGUUAAGUGGGAAACGAUGUGGGAAGGCCCAGACAGCCAGGAUGUUGGCUUAGAAGCAGCCAUCAUUUAAAGAAAGCGUAAUAGCUCACUGGUCGAGUCGGCCUGCGCGGAAGAUGUAACGGGGCUAAACCAUGCACCGAAGCUGCGGCAGCGACGCUUAUGCGUUGUUGGGUAGGGGAGCGUUCUGUAAGCCUGCGAAGGUGUGCUGUGAGGCAUGCUGGAGGUAUCAGAAGUGCGAAUGCUGACAUAAGUAACGAUAAAGCGGGUGAAAAGCCCGCUCGCCGGAAGACCAAGGGUUCCUGUCCAACGUUAAUCGGGGCAGGGUGAGUCGACCCCUAAGGCGAGGCCGAAAGGCGUAGUCGAUGGGAAACAGGUUAAUAUUCCUGUACUUGGUGUUACUGCGAAGGGGGGACGGAGAAGGCUAUGUUGGCCGGGCGACGGUUGUCCCGGUUUAAGCGUGUAGGCUGGUUUUCCAGGCAAAUCCGGAAAAUCAAGGCUGAGGCGUGAUGACGAGGCACUACGGUGCUGAAGCAACAAAUGCCCUGCUUCCAGGAAAAGCCUCUAAGCAUCAGGUAACAUCAAAUCGUACCCCAAACCGACACAGGUGGUCAGGUAGAGAAUACCAAGGCGCUUGAGAGAACUCGGGUGAAGGAACUAGGCAAAAUGGUGCCGUAACUUCGGGAGAAGGCACGCUGAUAUGUAGGUGAAGUCCCUCGCGGAUGGAGCUGAAAUCAGUCGAAGAUACCAGCUGGCUGCAACUGUUUAUUAAAAACACAGCACUGUGCAAACACGAAAGUGGACGUAUACGGUGUGACGCCUGCCCGGUGCCGGAAGGUUAAUUGAUGGGGUUAGCGCAAGCGAAGCUCUUGAUCGAAGCCCCGGUAAACGGCGGCCGUAACUAUAACGGUCCUAAGGUAGCGAAAUUCCUUGUCGGGUAAGUUCCGACCUGCACGAAUGGCGUAAUGAUGGCCAGGCUGUCUCCACCCGAGACUCAGUGAAAUUGAACUCGCUGUGAAGAUGCAGUGUACCCGCGGCAAGACGGAAAGACCCCGUGAACCUUUACUAUAGCUUGACACUGAACAUUGAGCCUUGAUGUGUAGGAUAGGUGGGAGGCUUUGAAGUGUGGACGCCAGUCUGCAUGGAGCCGACCUUGAAAUACCACCCUUUAAUGUUUGAUGUUCUAACGUUGACCCGUAAUCCGGGUUGCGGACAGUGUCUGGUGGGUAGUUUGACUGGGGCGGUCUCCUCCUAAAGAGUAACGGAGGAGCACGAAGGUUGGCUAAUCCUGGUCGGACAUCAGGAGGUUAGUGCAAUGGCAUAAGCCAGCUUGACUGCGAGCGUGACGGCGCGAGCAGGUGCGAAAGCAGGUCAUAGUGAUCCGGUGGUUCUGAAUGGAAGGGCCAUCGCUCAACGGAUAAAAGGUACUCCGGGGAUAACAGGCUGAUACCGCCCAAGAGUUCAUAUCGACGGCGGUGUUUGGCACCUCGAUGUCGGCUCAUCACAUCCUGGGGCUGAAGUAGGUCCCAAGGGUAUGGCUGUUCGCCAUUUAAAGUGGUACGCGAGCUGGGUUUAGAACGUCGUGAGACAGUUCGGUCCCUAUCUGCCGUGGGCGCUGGAGAACUGAGGGGGGCUGCUCCUAGUACGAGAGGACCGGAGUGGACGCAUCACUGGUGUUCGGGUUGUCAUGCCAAUGGCACUGCCCGGUAGCUAAAUGCGGAAGAGAUAAGUGCUGAAAGCAUCUAAGCACGAAACUUGCCCCGAGAUGAGUUCUCCCUGAGACUUUAAGUCUCCUGAAGGAACGUUGAAGACGACGACGUUGAUAGGCCGGGUGUGUAAGCGCAGCGAUGCGUUGAGCUAACCGGUACUAAUGAACCGUGAGGCUUAACCUU